AUGCCCCUCUUAAGAAGCGGGCGGCAUCUCCCGCCGGAGUUUCUCUCGUUUGCUUCGACGGCCGCGGUCUCCCCGCCCCCACUCGGUUCACGCGCAUGCACUCCGGGUCCCGAACAGCCUCCCGCGUGCCCGCCGCUCGGUCCGAAACAAGCCUGUGAAGUUCUGCUUCCCGGGGAUCCCAGAAAUGAACUGGAGCUGAAGGCGGAUGUUGGAGGGAAGGGAGCGGUUCUUUUUUCCUUUCUUCAGUUCUCUUUUUCCAAAGCCACGGGGAGACACGAGACCUCAAGAGAUCAAACCAGUUCUCAUUGACAAAACAGACAGACGUGCUCCAAAGCAGAACCAGCAAGACAUCUGCAUCGCAGAAGACCUGAGAACACAUUCCUCUGAAAUGUAAGUGGUUCUAACUUGAGUAUUCUGUGACCAGCACUUUUUGACCAAAUAAGAGAGAACAAGACAGAGAGAGACAGACAAACAGAUGGACAAGAGGAGGGAGACAGAGAAAAGAAA
rnacentral:lncRNA from 1 species